GAUGAACGCUGGCGGAGUGCUUAACACAUGCAAGUCGAACGGUGAAGGCGGAGCUUGCUCUGCUGGAUCAGUGGCGAACGGGUGAGUAACACGUGAGCAAUCUGCCCCUGACUCUGGGAUAAGCGCUGGAAACGGCGUCUAAUACUGGAUACGAGCUGCGAAGGCAUCUUCAGCAGCUGGAAAGAACUUCGGUCAGGGAUGAGCUCGCGGCCUAUCAGCUUGUUGGUGAGGUAACGGCUCACCAAGGCGUCGACGGGUAGCCGGCCUGAGAGGGUGACCGGCCACACUGGGACUGAGACACGGCCCAGACUCCUACGGGAGGCAGCAGUGGGGAAUAUUGCACAAUGGGCGAAAGCCUGAUGCAGCAACGCCGCGUGAGGGACGACGGCCUUCGGGUUGUAAACCUCUUUUAGCAGGGAAGAAGCGAAAGUGACGGUACCUGCAGAAAAAGCGCCGGCUAACUACGUG
rnacentral:rRNA from 1 species